rnacentral:lncRNA from 1 species
GUUGAAUCAAGAUUUUGACAAUAUUAAGUUUGUUUUACCUUAUGUGCAUUUGGUGUAUAUUAAAUUAGCUUUCUACUUAACCAUUUUGAAAAUUGCAGAAUAGCUGUAAAUCUAAUGGCCUAAUUUGUAUUUUGGAAUGGUUCUAAUAGCAAGUAGGUUGAUUUCAAAUGUAGAAAAUUGGCAAUUUGGAAGGGGGCUUCAAAUGUUGGACCGAUGAGGCUUAUUUCUGAUGACAAAAAAUAAAAAAAAACAAAAUGUUCCUUUUGUCAGAAGAAAUCGCAUAUUUGAAUAUGGAAAAAUUGGGUGCAAACAAGUAUCUUUGUAUUGGCUGAGUUCACAAACUGGAGAUACAUGGGUCGUUGUUGGAGUUUAGUUUAUGUCUGUGUCUGAGCAUAGAUUACGUUAGUGUCACAAUGACUGUUGCUCACUUGAAGGUAUUUGUGUCAAAUUUGAAUUGAGAGAGGUGAUAAAUUAGUAGGCAAACUAACACUCCAAAUGGUGAAAGAAUCGCCCCCACUCUAUCUCGAUUGGAUUAAUGAGGGAUUUUUUUAUGGACCAGUCUCUCACACAUUUCCCUCUCUCACACAUUUCCUUCUCUUACAAAGCUUGGCAGCAUUCAACUCUCUCCUAUGUCCUCUAAUUUUCUUCUACUUCAUCCUUCUUCUUCGAACACACUUAACAGCAAUGGACUCUCUUAUUUAUCCUUUUACAAAUUUCGUCCAACCGGGGUAGAAGCAAGUAUUGACAUUAAAAUAUACCCAUUUUCUUAAAAGUCUAUUUACACUUCUAUUACGGCCAAUCCAAUUUUGAAAUCUCUCCGCAACCCUCCAAAAUUGGUCUUCGAAAAUUUUGAGAAUCUGAAAAAAUCGAGACCACCAUUUUCGUGUUGUCUACAAAUUGAAUGUCGAGGCAAUUUGUUUCAACAUAAGUGGCUUUUCGACCGCAAGACCAAGGGACGCGCCGUCGCGGAUAAAGACAUAGGCAACAAAUUCACCGCUGAGGACAUCGUGCAUACCGUUGAUUAGUCGGGUAAUUCUCGAUUACUUUGGAAUCUUUGAGUUUAUUGUUGUUUCUGACACUAAAUAUUGCAUCUUAAUUACAGGAAAAGAGAAACUAUGUUUGUGCUCCUAUUUUUUUGGUAUUUUGAUGGAUUUUGAUUUUAAUGUUGUUAUAUUCAAUGGUGAUGGUUACAAGUCUUGAUUUUGAAUUAAUUAGUAUAAUCUGUGUGCUCGCCUCUAUAAUUAUUACUUAAGAUAUUAGUGGUAGUUAGAAAUCUCAUUAUUAGGUUAGGAUUGGGUAAUUGUGUCAUAUUUUGGCAAAUGAUUUGAUUAGCUUUGUGAAUAAGUGGUUGUGCUUAACAUUUGUAUUGAGUAUUGCUUAACAAAUUGUUGAAAUAUUAACUUUCUGGUCAUGAUAAUGUAAUAUUAAAAUCGUUUUAGGUUAAUUACUGAUGUCAAUAGUUGAAAUGAAUGUUAUUUAUGAAUUUGUUCUUGGAAAAAAAUUUGAUGGAAUUACAAAUUGAAAUAUAUUGGUACUAGUUGGUGUUUAUACGGGAGAGAAACUUUGACUGAUACAUUUAAUGAUUUGGAAUUGAUUUUGAUAAAUAUUGUUUGUUCGGUGAAUCUUCGAACUUCAGAUUGUUUUGUACAUUUUAUGUUUAUGAUAAUUAAAUAUCAACCCUAGCUUCUCUUCGAACUUGUACAUGAGACGUUAAGAAAGCUUUUUUUUUAUGGGACGAAAUUCGGACCGAAUCAUAUCUAACCACAACAUGUGUACUUAAAUCAUUAUGUAAAUCACUAGAUACAUACUUUUGCACACUAGUAGUACCAACGAUUUUGUAAUCAUCACUUUUAUGGUGCAGUUAUGUUUUAGUGUGUGUGAUUUGUGACAUUGCAUUUUACAUUUCCAGUGUCUGAAGUGCUUUUAGAUUCAAGAUUUUGCCAAAGCGAAUAUUAUGUGCCAUUUUAUUAUUGAAUUUAAAAUUAGCAGAUUUUUCCAUAAAACUCGCAUGCAAUAAGCCGUUUGAGACAACAUUUGAAUCAAUAAUAAUUCAGUAUGAUUAACUAAAUUUUGUCGGUAUUCGAUAAACAAUCAUCUAUUUUCUUCAAAAAUUAUAGCACAUCAAUUGCUCUAUUUAUUUCAUUUGGUAAAUGGCACCUUUAGAGUGUCAUCUCCGAACAUAAAUUAUCUCCAAUAACUGUCUGAACAUCCAUAUGUUUUUUAAUACUCUCAAAUGAUGAGCUAUGUCGAUUCGAGACGUGCUUUAGUUUAGGGUGCACGAUUUUGUUUCUUUUCCCUUCAAUUCUUUUAUCUACAUAAAGUCUUAUGCCAAUAUUUAUGUUGGGCUUGAUUGAAUUCUUUCUCAGUUUAUGGUUUUUUCAUUUUGCACUUGUAAAGAUUAUUUGGGCUUAAAGGUUUGAGCUGUGUUUCAUUUGCAUAUCCUUGUGAUUGAACAGAAAGUAUUGUGCAGUAAUAACAUUCUAUUGCUUCAGUAAUAUUUUUUGCAAUCAUGUUUCAUUUUGAAUUGGAGUAUAUUGGUCAUAGGUGGCUCUUGGAGGAGUGGUUCAUUCGUUGUGCUUGCAAUUGUUCUCUUCGAUAGUUAUGUUAUUUUUAUUUUCUCAUUUGUUUUUUUCCCUAUUUGUUAUGAUUCAGUGGCUUUGAUUUUGCCUAAAAAAGAGCAAAGGAAGCUUCUAAUGCUCAAUGAUGAUUCAUACUUUUUUUUUUUUUAUCAUUUCUCAGUCUUUUUAUAUUUCUUUAUCUUUUAUUCUUUUGUGUAUUUUUUCGUUGAUUUUGAAGAUAAAAUGUUCCCUACAAUUUGAGAGUAUAACUGAAACAUGCAGAAAUGAAAAUUUUGAUCAGAAUCUUGUUUUCGGGAAUGGUGUAUUAGUUGAGGGGUGCAUGAUUUUAGCUUGAAAUAGCAAAUUAACGUUAUUGUAUAACAUAUGGAUAACUUCGAUAUCUUAAUUUAAUCCCCUUUGAUGAGCUAACUAUUUUGGUAUAAUACCAAAAUCAUUAUCGUAUAGAUUUUAUUAGUUUAUGAUGUGUUUGUUGGAAGCAUUUUGUAGAUUCUUUCAUGCCUUUUUUCAGUGUGCAACUUGUGUUUCAACUCUCAAUUUGGAAAGUAAUUAACCUAAAAAGUUAAUGGUAAAAUAUUAGUGCUGAAAGGAGUAGUAAACAAUGAAAGUCAGAGCAUGAAUGGCAACCAUGUCUACUUUAGAAUGUCGAAUGCAGAUUGAAAUUGUACAAGCUAGAAACAUAGGUAUACUUAUAUUCUUCCAUAAAAGCAAUCGAAAAUUGCAUGAUUUUUCUAAUCCUGACUAUGGAAUUGUAUUGACACAUUUGAUAUAGCUGAACUGAUCUUUGGCUUAGUAUAAUGCUUCUGACAUAUUUCUAUUGUUCGCAUCUCUCACCCUUGUUUGAUGUCAAUAACGUUCAAGUGAUCAAUUCUAAACGCAGUGCUUCGAACUUUUCGAGUUGAGGUCAUCAUCUGGAGAACAUCCAUAACCACUCCAUUUGGAGCCUCCCAUUUCGAUUUACCAGGUGAGGAUGAUAGUUUCUUCCAUUUCUUUUUGGGUUAGACACAUUUGAUGAACAUACGUUUCAAUUAGUUUUGAACCUAUGCUAGUUAUGGUCAACUAUGCACACACAAGCACGUCCAUUACACGUUUCUUAUCAUGUUUGUCAUAUACCCCGACCCUUUUUGCCCCAAAAAAUUAAUACACCUGUACAGUCAGUUUUAGUGACUCAUGCAACGCAUUGGGUGUGGUUCAAAUGAUACUUCACAUAAGAAUUACACACUCAUGGUGGUAUACAUGUCAAAAUUAUAUUGUUUCUAUAUUCACUUCAGUUGCCCAGCUCACUUUAGCAAGCAGAUAAAAUCAAUCGGCAGUUUGCCUCAGCCAUUCUCGACAGUUGACCUCUCCAGUCAUUUGUGGAGAUUAACUGUCAGUAUUGACAGAUGAACUGUCCAAACCUACGAUUGAUGUCAAUUUUCCACGACAUCUGUACCCUUGCACAUAUCUUCAUUUUGUUUAUCAUCUGUGUCGACAUCUAUACCCUUGCACAUACCUUCAUUUUGUUUACAAGAUCUUAAUUCGAAUGUUUUGUUGCUAUGAAAUUGUCAUUAUUGGUGAUAUUACUCAAUAUUAAGAGAAAUUUGUAGUUGAAUGGAACUUUCACUUAUUUAAUACUCCUCACUUAUCUUUCUAGCUUCAUCACUUUUGAAUGUUAUAUGUUAGACUUUUCAUUGUUCAAGGCUUACAUUUUAUCUUGUUAUCAUACAACGCAGAUAUUGAAAUCAUGUCUAAUACCAUGUUGGAGCCAAUCGAUGUCCCUGUCAAAGAAAGAGCGACGUUGGCAAUGUUUCACUUCGGGUGACUGUGGAAAAUGCAUGGAGGAACGUUUUGUUUUACAUUAUUGUAUAUUUGUUUUUUGGGAAAUGUUGAUUAUGUUCAAAUGACAUUCACUGUCAAAGAAACUGUGUGGAUUUAGUAUGGAAAAUGUUGGUACGGAAACUGUUUCUAGCGUACUUUGUAAGUUUCUUGCUUUUUGAACUCGUUCGACCUAGAGAUUAAAACUGAUAUCCAAUUG